GACGAACGCUGGCGGCGUGCUUAACACAUGCAAGUCGAACGCUGAAGCCUAGCUUGCUGGGUGGAUGAGUGGCGAACGGGUGAGUAACACGUGAGUAACCUGCCCUCUUCUUUGGGAUAACGCCCGGAAACGGGUGCUAAUACUGGAUAUUCACUGGCCUUCGCAUGGGGGUUGGUGGAAAGGUUUUUUCUGGUGGGGGAUGGGCUCGCGGCCUAUCAGCUUGUUGGUGGGGUGAUGGCCUACCAAGGCUUUGACGGGUAGCCGGCCUGAGAGGGUGACCGGUCACAUUGGGACUGAGAUACGGCCCAGACUCCUACGGGAGGCAGCAGUGGGGAAUAUUGCACAAUGGGCGAAAGCCUGAUGCAGCGACGCCGCGUGAGGGAUGGAGGCCUUCGGGUUGUAAACCUCUUUCGCUCAUGGUCAAGCCGCAACACUUGGUUGUGGUGAGGGUAGUGGGUAAAGAAGCGCCGGCUAACUCCGUGCCAGCAGCCGCGGUAAUACGUAGGGCGUGAGCGUUGUCCGGAAUUAUUGAUCGUUAGGGUCGGUAGGUGGUUGAUCACCUCUGCCGUUGAGAUCACUGGCUAUGGUCU
rnacentral:rRNA from 1 species